rnacentral:lncRNA from 1 species
CCCCUCUUCACCCAGCCACCCCCCUAUUCAUUCUGGAUCCCCUUACCCUCAUUACUCAUAGGCUUUUUCUUCAGCACUUUUACCACGAUUGUGACUAAUUACAUGUGUGAUCAUUUUGGUACCAGGCUGCGCACUGACCCUCUGGGGGCUUGGGAGGAAAGUGCUCUGAGACCACCCUCCAGCAGCUUAGGGGUGGGGCCCCUGGAGGUGCAGCAAGUUGAGAGGAAGGAAGCCCUGGUGUUUUGCUUUCCUUGGCUACACUGGUCCUCUCCGGGCCAGGAUGGGCUCAAUGUGCUCUUGCUCAGGUAGGUGACACCUCAUUAAGACGAGGGGCAGAGGGACCUGCAGAAGGGUCUGGGAGUAGAUGGCUCAGGUAGGGGUCAGAUGCAGUAGAGA